CACUCAAGGAGCAACACAAAAAAAGGACGAGACAGCCAGGAAUUAUGGCUAAAAACAACUGCAGAGUCCUGUUGGGCUACGAAGACGACUUGAUAACGGAAAAGCAAAAGCACUUUAUCGAUUUCACGACAAACAAAGUAGGAGGCAAACCGGAUUGGCCUAAUUCUGAAAUUUUCGUACCUCCAUGCCCAUUGUGCGCUGCAGGACGUCGCUUAAUCAUCCAAUUGUACGUCCCGUUGGAAAAUUCAUCGUUUCAUCGCACAAUUUACUUGUUCAGUUGCCUAAAUCCGCCGUGCUCGAAUCAGAGUCAGGGUUGGUUGUGCAUCCGAACGCAAGUUUUGGAGAAGAAUUACGAAAAGGAAUCGACAAAAGUGAAAAGUUCGGCGAAACAAGCGAAGGUAGCGGAGAAAAUUGAAUGGUGUACGGGCGCUGAUGAUUGGGGAGAUGCUGCCGAAGACGAUUUUUCGAUAGAUACGAACACAAAUUCCAACGAGGAGAACGGCAAUGUGAUCGAAACGGUGCAAAAAUGUGAUAAUCGGAUGUCAGAUGAGGACGAUGAAAGUAAUUCUUUCGGCUCAGACCCCAUCCCGGGGUUCAAUAAUCUCGGAAUUGACGAUCGCAAUGCCAAUAAUGGAGCAAAUGCCAUUGCCGGAGCGUAUGCCAUCGAAAAACAAGUUCCUUCCCCGAAUCGCCCGACGGCAGAAAUCGAAGGAGCUGAAUCUGAGGUAAUUUUAAUCGAUGCUCCGCCCGCUCCUCAAAAGGAAAUCAUCUCAUUACUCAAAAAUGCGACAGUUUUCAACGCAAUUCCGCAAGAUCAGGCUCUCAAAAGUUUCUUCAUUGCCGACGACGAGGAGCAACAAUGUUCGAAAGUUGCCGCUGCGAUGUCCGAACACGUUCGCGAACUGAUGGUAGAGUACGAAAUGCGCGACGACUCAAUUCGAACGAGUCCCGAUGACCCGAAUGCGGGCGCUGCGUGCAACAAUAUGGAUGAGCAUGGCGAGCAAUACGAAAGGGGCGUUCCGUGUCACGGCGAUUUGAUGUAUCAUCACUUUUUGACGCGAAUUCAAGAAAAUCCCGGACAAAUUUUGCGAUAUUCGAGGGAGGCGGCGCCUUUGUUGAUUGCGCCGUUGAAGGAAAACGUUCAAAAGUGCCAGAAUUGCGGCGGCGACGUCAUCUGUGAGUUACAAGUGCUUCCAACGCUCAUCCCGAAGCUGCAAUUUGAGAAUGGCGAAGCUGCUCCGAUCGAUUUUGGGAAUGUUUUGGUCUAUACGUGCUUGAAAAGUUGUUGGGAUACGCCAGAUCGCAUGCGAUUGGAAAGUGUUAUUGUGCAGCAAGAGGAGAUGCCGGAAAUGCAACAUUAAAUUUUAGCGCAGAAAAAGAGAAAAUGCAUUUAAAUCAUUAAAAAAGCCAUUUAGCAAGGUUGAAACUGGAGUCAAUUGAUAGCUGUUGUAGAAAUUAAUGUCUGUUGAGCUCAAGCACGCAUGAAAUAUUUAAAAAAAGAAGAAAAUGAAAAAAAAUCAAUAGAUUAAAAUAUUGAUAAAUGUAUAUCGUGAUAAAAAAUAUUAUAUUUAUAAAUUAAAUACUUAACAUUAGUAACUCACCAAGUAGCGACUUUUUAUCACAUCAUCAUCGUUCGUACACCAAAGAAAUAAAUUAUUCCAAUAAAUAAUCGACUAAUAGCAGCACUCACAUUAAAUAUUCAAAAAUAAUCAUCAAAAAAAAAAAAAUAUUUUAUAGAUUUUCGGUCAUUUUUCGAUAUAAAUUUGAUAGAAGUGUAAGGAACGAAUGAAAAAUUUUACAGGAAAAGAGAGAGAAUGGAAGAUGUUUUUAAGAGAGUUUUAUCGAUAUAAAUGUUAAAUUAGUUUGUAGAACAAAGCAACUCAAGUCCCCAAAGUUACCAAUGAACUUUUUUAAAGAAAAGUUUUAAUUUUUCAGUAUCAAUCCAACACGGUUUCAUGUGUAAAAUUUGUAUUUUUGAACAUAU